UGCCCAGCAACUCCUAUCCCUACCUUAUCGUGGUAUCGGCCGGGGUACGAGUAACCUUAGGAAAGAUCGGACAACCAACCCCAGUGGGAACUAAGCUCGUAUGCUGACAGGGAAGG
rnacentral:ribozyme from 1 species